AUAACCGCAGUAAAUCGGGGCUAAUACAUAGAAGCGAUGGGUGACUGGUAACGGAAGCUCAGCGAUUAUUAGCAUAACUACCAAUACCUUCGGGUCUUGUGGUGAAACCGAAUAAUAUUGCAGAUCGAGGAUUUACUUCGACAAGUCUAAUGUGUCACUGCCCUAUCAACUUUCGAUGGUACGGUAUUGGCCUACCAUGGUUGUAACGGGUAACGGGGAAUUAGGGUUCGAUUCCGGAGAGGGAGCCUGAGAAAUGGCUACCACUUCUACGGAAGGCAGCAGGCGCGCAAAUUACUCAAUCCCAAUACGGGGAAGUAGUGACAAUAAAUAUCAAUACCUAUCCUUAAUGGAGGGCAAUUGAAAUGAACACAAAUUAAAACUCUUAAUUAACACAAUUGGAGGGCAAGUCUGGUGCCAGCAGCCGCGGUAAUUCCAGCUCCAAUAGCAUAUACUAAAGUUGUUGCAGUUAAAAAGCUCGUAGUUGAAGUUAAAGGUUUAUUGGGUCAAAGCUAUUUGCCGCUCUGGUGGUUAAAUAUGCUCCAGUAUUUCUUUUUUUUUGAAAAAUUGUUCAGCUUGUAUCAACUUUGUUGGUACUCGUUUGGACAUUUCACUGUGAGAAAAUUGUGGUGUUUAAAGCAGGCGUCUCGCCUGAUCUUUUGCAGCAUGGUAUGAUGAAACAUGACAUUUUGCGCUAUUGGUUUGCGUCUAAAGUGUAAUGAUUAAUAGGGAUGGAUGGGGGUGUUCAUAUUGGUGGGCGAGAGGUGAAAUUCGUUGACCCUAUCAAGAUGAACUUCUGCGAAAGCAUUCACCAAAUACUUCUCCAUUAAUCAAGAACGAAAGUUUGGGGAUCGAAGACGAUCAGAUACCGUCGUAGUCCAAACUAUAAACUAUGUCGACCCAGGGAUCGGUUAAAAUUUUUUUAAAAUUUAAUCGGCACCUUGUGAGAAAUCACGAGUGUUUAGAUUCCGGGGGGAGUAUGGUCGCAAGUCUGAAACUUAAAGGAAUUGACGGAAGGGCACACAAUGGAGUGGAGCCUGCGGCUUAAUUUGACUCAACUCGGGAAAACUUACCAAGCUAAGAUAUAGUUAGGAUUGACAGACUAAAAGAUCUUUCAUGAUUCUAUAAGUGGUGGUGCAUGGUCGUUCUUAGUUGGUGGAGCGAUUUGUCUGGUCAAUUCCGAUAACGGACGAGACCUCGACCUGCUAACUAGUAGUAUUUAUUAGUCAAUAUGGGCGAUAGCUUUUCUGGGAUUUAGAGCGAUUUCGGUCGUUUCUGGUUUCAAGGAGUGUGUAGUCUGGCUUGAUAGGUACGAAUUAAAAAAACUUCUUAGAGGGACUACCUGCCUCAAGCAGGCGGAAGUCCGAGGCAAUAACAGGUCUGUGAUGCCCUUAGAUACCUUGGGCCGCACGCGCGCUACAAUGUAUAAAACAAAAAGGUUCCUGGUCCGGAAGGAUUGGGUAAUCAAUUGAAUUUUCUACGUAACUGGGAUUGAUCUUUGUAAUUAUUGAUCAUAAACGAGGAAUUCCUUGUAAGCGUAGGUCAUUACCCUAUGCUGAAUAUGUCCCUGCCCUUUGUACACACCGCCCGUCGCUCCUACCGAUCGAAUGAUACGGUAAAGUUAACGGAUAGUUUUAUCUUUGGCAA
rnacentral:rRNA from 1 species